AUCCGCCUCGGUGCUAUCCGUAUACUUGGAGCCAUAUGUUCGUCGUCUCAAAUAUUCUCCACACCGACAUGUCUCUUCAGCUCUAUCUUAGAGAGGACGCCUCUAUGCGUCAUCACCUUCGGGAUCUCCGUUCAAUUGAAAUUGGAAGAAUCUGGAUUCUCAGAGAGACAUCUGGUCAAGAAAUCAUCAGGUUUUCACAUAUGAACGGUUUGUCCGUAUGGUGCAGUAGUUGUCUAUAAAGUCAUCUUGCUGGACAAGCUGAGAUAUGUUACUUAGAAGAUACCAACAUUUUUAAAAAAACCAAACGCAAGAGCGGUAUAGAGAUCUAGCAGGAGGUAACCGCUGGUAAACAGUUGAAGGAAACAAAAGUAGCUGGAACUUCAUUAAAGUUUCAACAACUUCAAAGUAAGUUUGGUGAAAUGGAGAUGAGAAUCUUGGACACUGAGUCUAGGAAAGCAAAACUAGAUAAAUAACUCAAAACUAAGAACACAAGCUUUCCAUUGUAAGCCUGACUUCAAAUUUCAAUUUUUUUAGUUUAGCUUAUUGUAGUGUUAAUUUCUAUGGGUUUCUCUCCUCUUUGUAGCUUAAAUCAACGAUAUAGAAAGCUACGGCACAGCUGUUCAAAUUGAAUCCUUUUUGGAAACUAUCUGAACCUGACGAUGACAUUGAAAUACUGCCUAAUCAGACUGAAGAUGAACAUCAGCUUGAUUCUUAUUACUAUUUCUGGAUCCAUUAUUAGCUUCUUAUUCUUAUCCAA